UACCCAGUCGUAUAACGGCUAUUACCUCCGGUUUUGAUCCGGAAAAUCAGGGUUCGAAUCCCUGCUGGGUGA
rnacentral:tRNA from 1 species